AAACCUAAACAAAAGAAUGUAUUUUUGACAACAAACUAUAUUAUUACUAACGGUAGUUAGAGCGGACAAAUACGUCAGCGAUUUAGUCCGCUCUAUUUUUAAAAUGGGCAAUAAACCGUUACGAACUAAUUAUAUUUGUAUGUAAAAACAGUCCGUAGUUAAUCUGCAGUGGUUUUUUUUUUCUUUUUUAAAUUCGCACCUAUACAAAUAUGAAUGAUAAAUAAAAAACAGUUCAAACCGCAAACGAAUUUGUCCGCCUUAACCGUUGCAACCAUUCAAAUCCUAUAUAGCAAAUAUGUGCUACAAUGAUAAAGAGAGACAUAGAAGAAAAAGAAAGUAA
rnacentral:sRNA from 1 species